GGAGGAAAAGAAACUAACAAGGAUUCCCUUAGUAACUGCGAGUGAAGUGGGAAGAGCUCAAAUUUGAAAUCUGGCAGUCUCUGGCUGUCCGAGUUGUAAUCUAGAGAAGUGUUGCCCGCGCUGGACCAUGUACAAGUCUCCUGGGAUGGAGCGUCRUAGAGGGUGAGAAUCCCGUCUUUGACAUGGACUACCAGGGCUUUUGUGGUGCGCUCUCAAAGAGUCGAGUUGUUUGGGAAUGCAGCUCAAAAUGGGUGGUAAAUUCCAUCUAAAGCUAAAUAUUGGCGAGAGACCGAUAGUGAACAAGUACCGUGAGGGAAAGAUGAAAAGAACUUUGGAAAGAGAGUUAAACAGUACGUGAAAUUGCUGAAAGGGAAACGCUUGAAGUCAGUCGCGUUGGCCAGGGAUCAGCCUUGCUUCUUAGUGUGGUGUACUUCCUGGUUGACGGGUCAGCAUCGGUUUUGACUGCUGGAGAAAGGCUUGGGGAAUGUGGCAGCUCUGGCUGUGUUAUAMCCUCCUGUCAGAUACAGUGGUUGGGACUGARGAACGCAGCAUGCCSCAAGGSCGGGGCUUAUAUCAGCCUACGUUCAUGCUUAGGAUGUUGACAUAAUGGCUUUA
rnacentral:rRNA from 1 species